UACAGAGGGUGCAAGCGUUGUUCGGAAUUAUUGGCGUAAAGCGCGUGUAGGCGGCUUAGCAAGUCGGGCGUGAAAGCCCUCGGCUCAACCGAGGAAGUGCACCCGAAACUGCUGAGCUUGAGUGCCGGAGAGGAUGGCGGAAUACCCCAAGUAGAGGUGAAAUUCGUAGAUAUGGGGUGGAACACCGGUGGCGAAGGCGGCCAUCUGGACGGUAACUGACGCUGAGACGCGAAAGCGUGGGGAGCAAACAGG
rnacentral:rRNA from 1 species